rnacentral:rRNA from 1 species
CACGUAGGGUGCGAGUGUUGUCCGGAAUUAUUGGGCGUAAAGAGCUCGUAGGCGGUGUGUCGCGUCGGCCGUGAAAACCUGCAGCUUAACUGUGGGCUUGCGGUCGAUACGGGCAUCACUGGAGUUCGGGCAGGGGAGACUGGAAUUCCUGGUGUAGCGGUGAAAUGCGCAGAUAUCAGGAGGGAACACCCGGUGGGCGAAGGCGGGCUACUGGGCUGAUACUGACGC